rnacentral:rRNA from 1 species
CGCGUAGGCGGCUCGGUAAGCGGGCGGUGAAAGCCCGGGGCUUAACCCCGGGUCUGCCGUGCGGACUGCCGUGGCUUGAGCACUGUAGAGGCAGGUAGAAUUCCGGGUGUAGCGGUGGAAUGCGUAGAGAUCCGGAAGAAUACCGGUGGCGAAGGCGGCCUGCUGGGCAGUUGCUGACGCUGAGGCGCGACAGCGUGGGGAGCAAACAGGAUUAGAUACCCUGGUAGUCCACGCCGUAAACGAUGGGCACUAGGUGCUUGGGGGAGCGACCCCCUGAGUGCCGUCGCUAACGCAGUAAGUGCCCCGCCUGGGGAGUACGGCCGCAAGGCUGAA